rnacentral:rRNA from 1 species
AUCCAAGGAAGGCAGCAGGCGCGCAAAAUUACCCACUCCCGGCACGGGGAGGUAGUGACGAAAAAUAACGAUGCGGGACUCUUUCGAGACCCCGUAAUUGGAAUGAGUACACUCUAAAUCCUUGUACGAGGACCUAUAGGAGGGCAAGUCUGGUGCCAGCAGCCGCGGUAAUUCCAGCUCCUAUAGCGUAUAUUAAAGUUGUUGCGGUUAAAAAGCUCGUAGUUGGAUCUCAGUUCCAGACGGGCGGUCCGCCUUACGGUGGUCACUGCCCGGCCUGAACAACCAGCCGGUUUCCCUAGAUGAUCUUUACUGAUUGUCUUGGGUGACCGGCACGUUUACUUUGAAAAAAUUAGAGUGCUCAAAGCAGGCGCGACGCCUGAAUAAUGGUGCAUGGAAUAAUGGAAUAGGACCUCGGUUCUAUUUUGUUGGUUUUCGGAACACGAGGUAAUGAUUAAGAGGGACAGACGGGGGCAUUCGUAUUGCGACGCUAGAGGUGAAAUUCUUGGACCGUCGCAAGACGAACUACUGCGAAAGCAUUUGCCAAGAAUGUUUUCAUUAAUCAAGAACGAAAGUUAGAGGUUCGAAGGCGAUCAGAUACCGCCCUAGUUCUAACCAUAAACGAUGCCAACCAGCGAUCCGCCUGAGUUCCUCAAAUGACUCGGCGGGCAGCUUCCGGGAAACCAAAGUCUUUGGGUUCCGGGGGAAGUAUGGUUGCAAAGCUGAAACUUAAAGGAAUUGACGGAAGGGCACCACCAGGAGUGGAGCCUGCGGCUUAAUUUGACUCAACACGGGAAAACUCACCCGGCCCGGACACUGGAAGGAUUGACAGAUUAAGAGCUCUUUCUUGAUUCAGUGGGUGGUGGUGCAUGGCCGUUCUUAGUUGGUGGAGCGAUUUGUCUGGUUAAUUCCGAUAACGAACGAGAUUCUAGCCUACUAAAUAGGCGUUCCGAUCACUCGAGUCGGACGUUCUUCUUAGAGGGACAAGCGGCGUUUAGCCGCACGAGACAGAGCAAUAACAGGUCUGUGAUGCCCUUAGAUGUCCGGGGCCGCACGCGCGCUACACUGAAGGAAUCAGCGUGUGCUUUCCCUCUCCGGCAGGAGUGGGUAACCCGAUGAAACUCCUUCGUGAUAGGGAUAGGGGCUUGUAAUUGUUCCCCUUGAACGAGGAAUUCCCAGUAAGCACGAGUCAUAACCUCGUGUUGAUUAAGUCCCUGCCCUUUGUGCACACCGCCCGUCGCUACUACCGAUUGAACGAGUUAGUGAGGUCUUCGGACUGGCACUCGGUGCGGGCCUCCGGUCCGCGUCGUCCUGCCGGAAAGAUGACCGAACUUGAUCGUUUAGAGGAAGUAAA